GGGAAGAUGGCCGAGUGGUUAUGGCGCUACGUUCAGGUCUUGGCAGCGAUUCAAUCGCUCUGGGUAUCGUAGUAGGGCAACCUGCGUGGGUUCGAGUCCCACUCUUCUCA